rnacentral:rRNA from 1 species
CAGUAGCCACGGUAAUACGAAGGGGGCUAGCGUUGCUCGGAAUGACUGGGCGUAAAGGGCGCGUAGGCGGAUUGUUAAGUCAGGGGUGAAAGGCGGUAGCUUAACUAUCGGAGUGCCCUUGAUACUGACGAGCUUGAAUGCAGCUGAGGUAGGCGGAAUGUGACAAGUAGCGGUGAAAUGCAUAGAUAUGUCACAGAACACCGAUUGCGAAGGCAGCUUACUAAAGUGCGAUUGACGCUGAGGCACGAAAGCGUGGGGAUCAAACAGGAUUAGAGACCCCAGUAGUCCCUGUCUCUUAUAC